rnacentral:lncRNA from 1 species
AUGCUGCAGUGGUGUGAAUGUUUCUUUGACUAGAGGUGUCAUCGACUAUCUGCAGUGAGGCUACUGAGUUUGACUAUACAUUUUCUUGAUCCUUAGCCAUCGGGUCCUUGCUGUGUAUAUUGGCUUCAGUGGGUUCAGAUUCACUGUUAAGAGUAGGAUACACCUAGAUGAAAUCUAUUAAUCUUGAUAAAAAAGAAAAAGUCCUAUAUGAUUUGUGAGACUGAGUUCAGAAAGUCUUUGGCCAAAGCAAGUGUGAAUACUGAAAAAAAUUUUCAAGAGAUUCACAAGUG